AAUCAACGCUGGCGGCGUGCCUAACACAUGCAAGUCGAACGCGAAAGGGACUUCGGUCCUGAGUAGAGUGGCGAACGGGUGAGUAACGCGUGGGUGACCUACCCUCGAGUGGGGGAUAACGUUCCGAAAGGGACGCUAAUACCGCAUGACAUUCCUGGUUUGAAGACUGGGAAAUCAAAGCCGGGGACCGCAAGGCCCUGCGCUUGAGGAGGGGCCCGCGUCUGAUUAGCUAGUUGGCGGGGUAACGGCCCACCAAGGCGACGAGCAGUAGCCGGCCUGAGAGGGCGGACGGCCACACUGGGACUGAGACACGGCCCAGACUCCUACGGGAGGCAGCAGUGGGGAAUUGUUCGCAAUGGGCGCAAGCCUGACGACACAACGCCGCGUGGAGGAUGAAGGUCUUCGGAUCGUAAAACUCUGUUGUGAGGGAAGAACAAGUACCAAUUAACUACUGGUACCUUGACGGUACCUCACCAGAAAGCCACGGCUAACUACGUGCCAGCCGCCGCAGUAAGAC
rnacentral:rRNA from 1 species